rnacentral:ncRNA from 1 species
UAUGGUAGAUGGGCUACAAUUAGCAGGACAUAUACUGUUGUGUCGAUAUUUUCUCCUCGGACCUUGAAAAUUUAUGGUGGGGACACGCAAACUUCUCAACAGGCCGUACCAAUAUCCGCAGCUGGUCUCCAAGGUGAAGAGUCUCUAGUCGAUAGAAUAAUGUAGGUAAGGGAAGUCGGCAAAUUAGAUCCGUAACUUCGGGAUAAGGAUUGGCUCUGAAGAUUGAGAUAGUCGGGCUUGAUUGGGAAACAAUAACAUGGUUUAUGUGCUCGUUCUGGGUAAAUAGAGUUUCUAGCAUUUAUGUUAGUUACUUGUUCCCCGGAUAGUUUAGUUACGUAGCCAAUUGUGGAACUUUCUUGCUAAAAUUUUUAAGAAUACUAUUUGGGUUAAACCAAUUAGUUCUUAUCAAUUAUAACGAUUAUCAAUUAACAAUCAAUUCAGAACUGGCACGGACUUGGGGAAUCCGACUGUCUAAUUAAAACAAAGCAUUGUGAUGGCCCUAGCGGGUGUUGACACAAUGUGAUUUCUGCCCAGUGCUCUGAAUGUCAAAGUGAAGAAAUUCAAGUAAGCGCGGGUCAACGGCGGGAGUAACUAUGACUCUCUUAAGGGGGGACUCUCUUGGGGAUCUGGGGUAAUUGCGAGCAGAGGGGGAGUAUUUUUCUGUAAUUCGUAAGUCAUAUCAUAUGGUGUGCGGAAGGGGAAUUUUACUCUGUAACUCACAAGUCUCUCCUUUACUCAAGUCGACUCAAAACCUCCUCGUGGUGGUCCCCGGU